rnacentral:rRNA from 1 species
CCUACGGGUGGCAGCAGUGGGGAAUAUUGGACAAUGGGGGCAACCCUGAUCCAGCCAUGCCGCGUGUGUGAAGAAGGCCCUCGGGUUGUAAAGCACUUUCAGUGAGGAAGAACGCCUGGUGGUUAAUACCCAUCAGGAAAGACAUCACUCACAGAAGAAGCACCGGCUAACUCCGUGCCAGCAGCCGCGGUAAUACGGAGGGUGCGAGCGUUAAUCGGAAUUACUGGGCGUAAAGCGCGCGUAGGUGGCUUGAUAAGCCGGUUGUGAAAGCCCCGGGCUCAACCUGGGAACGGCAUCGGGAACUGUCAAGCUAGAGUGCAGGAGAGGAAGGUAGAAUUCCCGGUGUAGCGGUGAAAUGCGUAGAGAUCGGGAGGAAUACCAGUGGCGAAGGCGGCCUUCUGGACUGACACUGACACUGAGGUGCGAAAGCGUGGGUAGCAAACAGGAUUAGAUACCCUGGUAGUC